rnacentral:rRNA from 1 species
UCCCAGACUCCUACGGGAGGCAGCAGUAGGGAAUUUUCGUCAAUGGGGGGAACCCUGAACGAGCAAUGCCGCGUGAGUGAAGAAGGUUUUCGGAUCGUAAAGCUCUGUUGUAAGAGAAAAAGGGUGAUAACAGGAAAUGGUUAACACUUGAUGGUAUCUUACGAGGAAGCCACGGCUAACUACGUGCCAGCAGCCGCGGUAAUACGUAGGUGGCGAGCGUUAUCCGGAAUGAUUGGGCGUAAAGGGUGCGCAGGCGGUUGUAUAAGUCUGAAGUAAAAGCCAUCGGCUCAACCGAUGUAAGCUUUGGAAACUGUGUAACUAGAGUGCAGGAGAGGGCAGUGGAAUUCCAUGUGUAGCGGUAAAAUGCGUAGAUAUAUGGAGGAACACCAGUGGCGAAGGCGGCUGCCUGGCCUGUAACUGACGCUGAGGCACGAAAGCGUGGGGAGCAAAUAGGAUUAGAUACCCGCGUAUUG